rnacentral:rRNA from 1 species
GCCUACGGGGGGCAGCAGUGGGGCCUCUUGGCCCGUUGUUUCCCCCCUGCUCCAGCGACGCCGCGUGAGUGAAGAAGUAUUUCGGUACGUAAAGCUCUAUCCGCAGGAAAGAAAAUGACGGUACCUGACUAAGAAGCCCCGGCUAACUACGUGCCAGCAGCCGCGGUAAUACGUAGGGGGCAAGCGUUAUCCGGAUUUACUGGGUGUAAAGGGAGCGUAGACGGCAGCGCAAGUCUGGAGUGAAAUGCCGGGGCCCAACCCCGGAACUGCUCUGGAAACUGGGAAGCUGGAGUGCAGGAGAGGUA